rnacentral:rRNA from 1 species
GCGGCAGGCCUUAACAUGCAAGUCGAGGGGUAACAGGGAAAAGCUUGCUUUUCCGCUGACGACCGGCGCACGGGUGCGUAACACGUAUGCAACCUACCUCUUACUGAGGAAUAGCCCAGAGAAAUUUGGAUUAAUACCUCAUAGUAUCACCAGUUCGCAUGUUCAGGUGAUUAAAGGUUACGGUAAGAGAUGGGCAUGCGCCCCAUUAGCUAGUUGGUGAGGUAAUAGCUCACCAAGGCAACGAUGGGUAGGGGGUCUGAGAGGACUAUCCCCCACACUGGUACUGAGACACGGACCAGACUCCUACGGGAGGCAGCAGUGAGGAAUAUUGCGCAAUGGACGAAAGUCUGACGCAGCCAUGCCGCGUGAAGGAUGACGGCGCUACGCGUUGUAAACUUCUUUUAUAUGCCAAGAAACCUUCGGACGUGUC